rnacentral:rRNA from 1 species
AUUGAACGCUGGCGGCAUGCCUUACACAUGCAAGUCGAACGGCAGCACGGGAGCAAUCCUGGUGGCGAGUGGCGAACGGGUGAGUAAUAUAUCGGAACGUGCCCAGUCGUGGGGGAUAACGCAGCGAAAGCUGUGCUAAUACCGCAUACGAUCUAAGGAUGAAAGCGGGGGAUCGCAAGACCUCGCGCGAUUGGCGCGGCCGAUAUCAGAUUAGCUAGUUGGCGGGGUAAAGGCCCACCAAGGCGACGAUCUGUAGCUGGUCUGAGAGGACGACCAGCCACACUGGAACUGAGACACGGUCCAGACUCCUACGGGAGGCAGCAGUGGGGAAUUUUGGACAAUGGGCGCAAGCCUGAUCCAGCAAUGCCGCGUGCAGGAUGAAGGCCUUCGGGUUGUAAACUGCUUUUGUACGGAACGAAACGGCCCUUUCUAAUACAGGGGGCUAAUGACGGUACCGUAAGAAUAAGCACCGGCUAACUACGUGCCAGCAGCCGCAGUAA